rnacentral:rRNA from 1 species
GACAGAGGGGGCAAGCGUUGCUCGGAAUCACUGGGCGUAAAGGGCGUGUAGGCGGGAAUGUAAGUCGGGCGUGAAAGCCCCAGGCUCAACCUGGGAACUGCACUCGAAACUGCGUUUCUUGAGUAUCGGAGAGGAAAGCGGAAUACCUGGUGUAGAGGUGAAAUUCGUAGAUAUCAGGUGGAACACCAGUGGCGAAGGCGGCUUCCUGGACACCAACUGACGCUGAGACGCGAAAGCGUGGGGAGCAAACAGG